AUUGAACGCUGGCGGCAUGCCUUACACAUGCAAGUCGAACGGCAGCACGGGUGCUUGCACCUGGUGGCGAGUGGCGAACGGGUGAGUAAUACAUCGGAACAUGUCCUGUAGUGGGGGAUAGCCCGGCGAAAGCCGGAUUAAUACCGCAUACGAUCUACGGAUGAAAGCGGGGGACCUUCGGGCCUCGCGCUAUAGGGUUGGCCGAUGGCUGAUUAGCUAGUUGGUGGGGUAAAGGCCUACCAAGGCGACGAUCAGUAGCUGGUCUGAGAGGACGACCAGCCACACUGGGACUGAGACACGGCCCAGACUCCUACGGGAGGCAGCAGUGGGGAAUUUUGGACAAUGGGCGAAAGCCUGAUCCAGCAAUGCCGCGUGUGUGAAGAAGGCCUUCGGGUUGUAAAGCACUUUUGUCCGGAAAGAAAUCCUUGGCUCUAAUACAGUCGGGGGAUGACGGUACCGGAAGAAUAAGCACCGGCUAACUACGUGCCAGCAGCCGCGGUAAUACGUAGGGUGCGAGCGUUAAUCGGAAUUACUGGGCGUAAAGCGUGCGCAGGCGGUUUGCUAAGACCGAUGUGAAAUCCCCGGGCUCAACCUGGGAACUGCAUUGGUGACUGGCAGGCUAGAGUAUGGCAGAGGGGGGUAGAAUUCCACGUGUAGCAGUGAAAUGCGUAGAGAUGUGGAGGAAUACCGAUGGCGAAGGCAGCCCCCUGGGCCAAUACUGACGCUCAUGCACGAAAGCGUGGGGAGCAAACAGGAUUAGAUACCCUGGUAGUCCACGCCCUAAACGAUGUCAACUAGUUGUUGGGGAUUCAUUUCCUUAGUAACGUAGCUAACGCGUGAAGUUGACCGCCUGGGGAGUACGGUCGCAAGAUUAAAACUCAAAGGAAUUGACGGGGACCCGCACAAGCGGUGGAUGAUGUGGAUUAAUUCGAUGCAACGCGAAAAACCUUACCUACCCUUGACAUGGUCGGAAUCCCGCUGAGAGGUGGGAGUGCUCGAAAGAGAACCGGCGCACAGGUGCUGCAUGGCUGUCGUCAGCUCGUGUCGUGAGAUGUUGGGUUAAGUCCCGCAACGAGCGCAACCCUUGUCCUUAGUUGCUACGCAAGAGCACUCUAAGGAGACUGCCGGUGACAAACCGGAGGAAGGUGGGGAUGACGUCAAGUCCUCAUGGCCCUUAUGGGUAGGGCUUCACACGUCAUACAAUGGUCGGAACAGAGGGUUGCCAACCCGCGAGGGGGAGCUAAUCCCAGAAAACCGAUCGUAGUCCGGAUUGCACUCUGCAACUCGAGUGCAUGAAGCUGGAAUCGCUAGUAAUCGCGGAUCAGCAUGCCGCGGUGAAUACGUUCCCGGGUCUUGUACACACCGCCCGUCACACCAUGGGAGUGGGUUUUACCAGAAGUGGCUAGUCUAACCGCAAGGAGGACGGUCACCACGGUAGGAUUCAUGACUGGGGUGAAGUCGUAACAAGGUAGCCGUAUCGGAAGGUGCGGCUGGAUCACCUCCUUUCCAGAGCUUCUCGCAAAGUUGAGCGCUCACGCUUAUCGGCUGUAAAUUUAAAGACAGACUCAGGGGUCUGUAGCUCAGUCGGUUAGAGCACCGUCUUGAUAAGGCGGGGGUCGUUGGUUCGAAUCCAACCAGACCCACCAUUGUCUGGCGGUAACACCUGAGGCAAAUCUGUACUCAUGGGGGCAUAGCUCAGCUGGGAGAGCACCUGCUUUGCAAGCAGGGGGUCGUCGGUUCGAUCCCGUCUGCCUCCACCAAUCUUCAAUGACAAACAUUCGAAUGACGAUUGUUCGAGUCUUUGUCAUUGGCGAUUGAGCCAGUCAGAGUGAUACGUAGUAUGUAUCGGCUGUCGUUCUUUAACAAUCUGGAAGAAGUAAGUAAUUUGGAUAGCGGAAGCGUCUUGAGAUGGACGUGAAAGUUAUCCGGGUUGUGAUUGUAUCGAUGUAUCUCAAGAUGAUUCGAACUCUAUGUUUGACUCAAUUGGAAUACGGCACAACGCGAGAACUCAACCUGUAGCGACUGUCGAUGAGACAGACUCGUUAUAGGGUCAAGCGAACAAGUGCAUGUGGUGGAUGCCUUGGCGAUCACAGGCGAUGAAGGACGCGGUAGCCUGCGAAAAGCUACGGGGAGCUGGCAAACAAGCUUUGAUCCGUAGAUGUCCGAAUGGGGAAACCCACUCCUUUUGGAGUAUCCAUGGCUGAAUACAUAGGCCAUGCGAAGCGAACGCGGUGAACUGAAACAUCUAAGUAACCGCAGGAAAAGAAAUCAACCGAGAUUCCCAAAGUAGUGGCGAGCGAAAUGGGAUGAGCCUUGCACUCUUUAUUUGUAUUGUUAGCCGAACGCUCUGGAAAGUGCGGCCAUAGCAGGUGAUAGCCCUGUAGGCGAAAACAGUAUGAAAGAACUAGGUGUGCGACAAGUAGGGCGGGACACGUGAAAUCCUGUCUGAAGAUGGGGGGACCAUCCUCCAAGGCUAAAUACUCGUGAUCGACCGAUAGUGAACC
rnacentral:rRNA from 1 species